GACAGAAUAAUGAAGAACUUGACAUGCAUGGUGGAAGUUGAUUGAGACUAUCAUUUCUUCGAGAGGUCCAGCGACUAUAUACUCGCAAGAAGGAUAUGGUAUGGAAUAGCUUUCUACACCUCUGGGCUGGCAGAUUUGUAAGAUUGGAAGUUGUUUCAGUGUGGAUUGAGAUGGACACUUUGUAUGGUCUUGUAAAAUUUGCUUUUGAAGUCACAAAAAACCCGUGCAAUAUGUUGGCUGGAUUGCUAGAUUGAUGUAGGAA